rnacentral:rRNA from 1 species
UGAUUUGCAGCAGGCGCGCAAACUUUACAAUGCGAGCAAUCGUGAUAAGGAAACCCUGAGUGCCUGUCGAUGCAGGCUGUUCAUAUAUCUAAAUCAUAUGUGAAGAAAGGGCAGGGCAAGACCGGUGCCAGCCGCCGCGGUAAUACCGGCUGCUCGAGUGAUGGCCACUAUUACUGGGUUUAAAGCGUCCGUAGCUUGACUGUUAGGUCUCUUGGGAAAUCUUCACGCUCAACGUGAAGGCGUCUAAGAGAUACCGGCAGUCUUGGAACUGGGAGAGGUAAACCGUACUUCGGGGGUAGGAGUGAAAUCUUGUAAUCCUCGAGGGACGACCUAUGGCGAAGGCAGUUUACCAGAACAGCUUCGACAGUGAGGGACGAAAGCUGGGGGAGCAAACGGGAUUAGAUACCCCGGUAGUCCCAGCCGUAAACAAUGUGCGUUAGGUGUGUCGGUAACCACGUGUUACUGAUGCGCCGAAGAGAAAUCGUGAAACGCACCACCUGGGAAGUACGGUCGCAAGGCUGAAACUUAAAGGAAUUGGCGGGGGAGCACCACAACAGGUGGAGCCUGCGGUUUAAUUGGAUUCAACGCCGGACAUCUCACCGGAUAAGACAGCUGAAUGAUUGUCAAUCUGAAGGUUUUACAUGACUAGCUGAGAAGAGGUGCAUGGCC